UAGGCUACCAGUCACCUCCCGACAAUAUGUCAGGAGGACUGUCUGCUUCUAGACCGCAGCUGACCACCAAUCAAAGAAACCACGGAAAGUAAAACAGCAGGUGACUCCCCAAAUUGCGUAACAGAAACUCGGUCACCUGACUUUCCAUCCGGAAUAUGCCUCCAGAGAAAAGGGAACCCAGAAAGUGGUAAAGCCAUUAAGUCUUCCCAGGCAGCUGAAGUCACCAGAUUGUGAGGUGUUGUUCUCUGCCCUGUGCUGCACAUCCAAGCACGAGCUCCAUGAGCUCCUGCCUUCCUCGCUCCCACAAUGCUUUGUACGGCGUCUACGAAGGCUGCUGCCGAUAACUGUCCAGCUGCCUGGGUCUAAUUAUGUGAGGAGGGGCCUUCGCUCAGGCAGACUGAAAUGACUGGUUUCUCUCGUCUUCUGUA